UUCCCCACUCCCUGCUGUGGGAGGGUCUGAGGACAAAUCAGGAAGCUAAGGGCAAAUUGGUUGGAGGGGGCAGUGGGAAGGGGCUGCUUCUUGGUGAGAGGGGCUCUAUGGAGUUGCUCUUGGCUCUUCUUCGUGCUGUGUGUGCUGCUGUGGGCCUGGAGCAAAGACCUACCCGACACCUGGCCUCGUGGAAAUGAAGCUGCAUUCAGACUGGGUGCAGCAAUCAGAGCUGACGGGAGGAAAAGGGGCCCAGGAGCAGAGCUCUGCGUGGGCACAGCAGGGACCAGCAGAAAGUGCAGGGUGAAGGACCUGAUACAACCCCAACCCUGUGCUGAGAUGUCCCAGACCUCGUGCCAACCUCCACGGAUGACGAGGGCUCCUGCAGCUUCGUACCAGUGAUCUCUCUUAAAGAAAUCUCCAUCUCUCCCAAAACCUGUUGCCCUUCUGAAAUCUGUUUCCGGAGAGCAUUGUAAUCCUCAAUCAAGCCAAGCACGUGGCGCCCGUUUUUGUC